rnacentral:lncRNA from 1 species
UUAAGGUUUUGGGGGUUAGGGUUAAAAUCACUGUCCAAAACCUUUUUAGGAACAUGUUUCAGUCCUUUUGGAGUUAUUUACACCAAAAAAACCUGAAGAAAUGACAAAAAAAUGUUUGGGGUGUUAGGGCUUCCUUUAGGUAAUACCCGGGUAUUGGGUUACGGGGGUAGGGUAAGGUUUAAGGUUUUUGGCGUUAGGGUUAAAAUCACUGUCCAAAACCUUUUUAGGAACAUGUUUUUAACCUUUUGGAGUUAGUUAGACCAAAAAAUACUGAGAAAGUGUAAAAAAAAAUGUUUGGGGUUUUAAGGCUUCCUUAAGGUAAUACCCAGGUAUUUGGUAAUGGGGCUAGGGUAACGUUUAAGGUUUUUGGAGUUAGGGUUAAUAUCACUGUCCAAUAUUUUUUUAGGAACAUGUUUCAGACCUUUUGGAGUAAGUUAGACCAAAAAAUACUGAAAAAUGUAAAAAAAGAAAUGUUUGGGUUGUUACGGCUUCCUUUAGGUAAUACCCGGGUAUUAGGUUACGGGGCUAGGGUAACGUUUAAGGUUUUUGGCGUUAGGGUUAAAAUCACUGUCCAAAACCUUUUUAGGAACAUGUUUCAGACCUUUUGGAGUUAGUUUGACAAAAAAAAAACUGAAAAAUGACAAAAAAAUGUUUGGGGUGUUAGGGCUUCCUUUAGGUAAUAUUGCGUUACGGGGGUAGGGUAAGGGUUAAGGUUUUUGGCGUUAGGGUUAAAAUCACUGUCCAAAACCUUUUUAGGAACAUGUUUUAGACAUUGUGGAGUUAGUUAGACCAAAAAAAAAUGUAAAAUGAAAAAAAAAUGUUUGGGGUGUUAGUGCUUCCUGAAGGUAAUACCCAGGUAUUAGGUUACGGGGCUAGGGUAAGGUUUAAGGUUUUGGGGGUUAGGGUUAAAAUCACUGUCCAAAACCUUUUUAGGAACAUGUUUCAGUCCUUUUGGAGUUAUUUACACCAAAAAAACCUGAAGAAAUGACAAAAAAAUGUUUGGGGUGUUAGGGCUUCCUUUAGGUAAUACCCGGGUAUUGGGUUACGGGGGUAGGGUAAGGUUUAAGGUUUUUGGCGUUAGGGUUAAAAUCACUGUCCAAAACCUUUUUAGGAACAUGUUUUUAACCUUUUGGAGUUAGUUAGACCAAAAAAUACUGAGAAAGUGUAAAAAAAAAUGUUUGGGGUGUUAGGGCUUCCUUUAGGUAAUACCCAGGUAUUAGGUUACGGGGCGAGGGUAACGUUUAAGGUUUUUGGCGUUAGGGUUAAAAUCACUGUCCAAUAUUUUUUUAGGAACAUGUUUCAGUCCUUUUGGAGUUAGUUAUGUGGGGGAAAAUAACAGAUAUGUUUGGAUGUUUUGGAGGUUACUAUGAGGCAAGAAAACAGGAUAUGGUGGGUGAGGUCAGAUUGGGAUAAACUUCAUCAGGUCAUGGUGAACUGUAAUUACAAUAACAGGAAAUUUGGCAGAGGAAGAUAUCUCUGGGCUUCAGAGAUAGUGGCAGGGAAAAAGUCACGUAGGGAACUAUCCCACGGGAAAGUGACAAUCCAGUUGAGAUCAGUGACGUCAGUGGAGUACUAUAAGAGAUCUGUGGUUUUUCUGUUCUGGGGUCUGUCUGUUCGACUGUUCAUGAGCUGUGUUUGAUGCUGUGACCAGAAUAAAAUCCCGCGAGAGGCUGCCAGCUUGAUUCUGUCUUCGUGUAGUUCAUUCCUGCAUUUUUGCACCGAGGUCAUCUUCUAAAUAAUUGGCGAGCUACAGCCAAGAUUUUGCCGAGGCCUGGGGCGGUGGCCUCCCCACGCGAGUGAAAUCCACGUGCCGGCACACAAAAGGUAGGAGAAGUUUAUUUCUCUAUUAGAUGUGUGAUUUCACUGUGUGGUGAGACCAUCGUGUGUUUGGGCCCUCGCAAAAGAAAGAGCCUAGAAUCAAAGGAAGCAGAGUCAGGCGGAGUCUCUCACGUGUUAUUCAUGUAUACAUGAAGGCUGCUCCAAAGUGUGUGGAAAAUUGUGGGACAGACAAAUUAACUAUUGGCGUCAAAGCAGCUGGGAAUCUUGGCCAAGUGUCUGUUGACUGUGUCUUAUGGGGAUAGUAGGAGUAAAGCGAACAGGCCUCGAGAUUAAGGCGUAGGGAGGCAGAGUGGAUUCGGUCCAGACCCCGAGCAACAGGCUUAUGGGGGUAGUUAAGGCGUAAAUGCGAAAAGGUCUCUAGCUUAAUGCUUAGGGGGGCAGAGGAGUAUCGCUAACAGAUCCCGAGAACAGUGAUCAGCAGAGCAGAUCUGUUGUUGUGGGUGAACAAGGUGCCAGGACUUUCAGUUCUAGGGGCAUAGAGUUAACGGGCGCGCGAGUUUGAGAAGCCGGCAGCCAAGCCCUGGCAGAUGUGUAAAAAAGAUUAACCCGAUGAGGUUGGACAGACCUCAGAGAUACUGCUCUGCGGAGCCCGGGGAGGUCUGAAAGGGCAAGGAACCUGGACAGACCACCCCAUGUUAAGUUCUGUAAUCUGGGGCUGAUCUUUUACUGAGCUCGAAAGGCAGAAACCCUGCAGGUUGCAGACUUAUCUAAUAUAAAUAACGUGGAGAAAUCCACUAGGAAUUAUGGAACAGAUUUAGAUGUGGUUGACUGGACUGUACACACAGUUCAAUCACACUUGCUGGGAAAUCCCGCUAAAAGUCAGGUCUGUCGCUAAUUAUGGGCACAUUUUAACAUAUAUCCACAAAAACUUAUAGAUGAAACGAACGCAUUUCUCAUAAUAAGUAACGGGAAAUAAAGAAAAACAAACAAAAAACUGCAAUCUGAGGACAGAGGUUAAUCAUACGGAACAUUGGACAUUGGAGGUAUUGAAAAUUUAUAAGGUAGGAGUUGUUUGAUCCACAAUUUCCUUCCAAAUUGACACCACGAAAAACACGGAUGAUCAAUGUGUUAUCCUUAUGAGUCAGCCAACUAAAUAGAAUACCUUCAAAAAUCACCAAAAAGACUAAACAAAAGUAUAUUUGACGAAUAAAAUAGAAACACCCCAAAAAUGUGUGUGUGAGGACCGGUCCGUGUGAAAGUGAUCACUCUUUUCCUUUCUCUCUCUCCUCGCACUCCGCUGUUAAGCGUGUUGAGGGUGUGUGUGUGUUGUGUGUGUGCAUGGUGGAGAAAGCCCACAACACAUUGAGAUAUACAGUAUGUUUGAUUGCAAAUACAUUGACAUGCAUAUAUCCUGCAUUGUACAAGCUGAACAUAAUCAGCUGCAAACUAAUAUGUAAAUAAUGGAAAAUGUUUAACAAGGUGGUUGCAGGAAUCCUAUAAGCAAGCUAAGAUUAACUGCGUUGUCACGGCUCUGUAUAUGGUGCCUAAAUUCGUUUCGGGGGGACAAGGGACCCCGUUUCGGGGGGACAGGGGACCAUGGUUCUGCGAACUUCACAUGGGAUAAGGACACUCUGUGGCCACAAAAAGAAAAAGGUAGGAGAUUUCCUAAAAUUUGGUUGAGAGUUCUUUUCCCUGUGAGGUGGUGCGGACUACUGCUCUCUGUCCUCUUCGAAUCAAAGAACCUAGAAUAGAAAUAAGAGGAGACAGUGGGAAUGAAGACAGUCUGAGAAAACUGCAUGCAUGCAGUCAGCUGAUCAAAGUGUGCUAAAUUUGGGAGAGGAAGCCAAUUUAAAUUGGAUAUAUAUCAGCUGAAUUAAGAGAAACUGCAGUUGGUUGUGUCAGAC